rnacentral:rRNA from 1 species
GAUCCUGGGCUCAGGAUGAACGCUGGCGGCAUGCCUAAUACAUGCAAGUCGAACGAGAGGAAGGAAAGCUUGCUUUUCUGAAUCUAGUGGCGAACGGGUGAGUAACACGUAGGUAACCUGCCCAUGUGCCCGGGAUAACUUCUGGAAACGGAUGCUAAAACCGGAUAGGUAGCAGACAAGCAUUUGACUGCUAUUAAAGUGGCUAAGGCCAUGAACAUGGAUGGACCUGCGGUG